rnacentral:lncRNA from 1 species
AUGGCAACAAAAGUCAAAAUACAUGUGAUGGUUUCUAUCCUCUUCGAUUCCAGGCCUGUGAAGAUGGUGGCCGAUUUGAAGGUUUGGACCUCAAGGGGCUUGCAGCUCUCACCGCUGACACUGUCGUCAGCAUUGUCCACAAGAGACUGGCCGAUAGACCUGCAGAGGAGGCCCGUGAAGAGGUGGUGCAGUUCUUCAAGAGGCCAGAUAAUGACACAAAUCAUGAAAUGGAAGAAAGUUUAGGAUGGCUGCUGUUAAAGUCUCUCUUGCUGCUUACAGCUGACAGCUCAGUGAGUCGUUAACAGUUUUAAAGCAUAGUUAAGUUUCAGUCGGGUUACUACUCCAUAUUUUAGUUGAACAGGUGAAUUAAUUAUGUGUUUGUUUUCAGGAUAUACUGUCAUGUAUAAAUCAAGAACUCCCUGCUGCUUUGAUGAAAUGUCUGUACCUUCUAGUGUGCCUUCCAUCUAAAAAGGAGAACAUCAAAAUAGAAGAAACCUUUCAGGAAACAUUAACACAGGUUAGUAACAACUGACUUCUCCCUUUAGGGCAAUGGGUUAUUUUUAUUUCUGUGAGUUUUGGUUUUUUGUUGUGAAAACUCAAAUUUUCUUCUUUCCCCAGUUUUUGACUAACCAUACUUCUCUCUUCUUUCUCUUUUAGGUUAUUCUUCAGCUGUGUAGGCUGCCAGUCAAUGUGGAGAUACUGGUAGAGACUCAGGAACUGCAGUGUCUUAUUAUUGGUCUCACAUCAUUAUGGGAUCAGACCAGUGCCACCUGGAGGUAUCAAGCCUCCCGCAUCCUCAAAGCAGUCUCUGCCGUAGCAACAAGCAACACUGUCCCCAGCUUACUAGGUAAGAUACAACAAAAAUAUUUGCAGUAAUUAGUAUUUUUGUAGCGAGUUUAGUCAUUUAAUUGAUUUGCUUCUUACUUGUAAUAGGCCUCAUUACACUCUUAAAUAUUGUGUCAAAACAGGAUGCAUAGGAGCAUGAGUGGGAAGUGAUUUGUGCACUAAUGAAUUAAUUAUAGCAAGAAACAUGAUCAAACAUCUCAACAGAGUUGUACUGAAAGUCACAUGAAGCCUUAAUAAGCACAAAUAAUUCAUUCGAAUGUUCCAGUGCACAUGGGUUUACUCAGAUUUAUUUUGGAUACCAAGAUGCUAUCAACACUUUUCCAUGUGGUAUUUUGCUCAAUUGACUCUGCACCGC